rnacentral:lncRNA from 1 species
UUUGCCUCUCGCGGCCCCGUGAGGGGAGCAGCUCCUCAGCUAGCUGCCUCUGUGGUGCAGAGCAAGCCUGCAGCAAAUCCUGAAGUAUUCCAUAUAGAAUGAACGUUUGAGCUAAUUCCCUUCGCAGUCA